UUGUGAGUCUCCCUGCUUGAAGAUUUUCUAUGUGUUCCUCAAAUUUUAUUGUGUGCCAAGAACUGGAUAACCUUUAUUUAUUGUGUGUCAAAAUCUGACAUAUGUGCAUGACUUCAUCUUGUAGGUUGUCAUACGGAUGUUCUUUGGACUACGAUAUUGACAUGAAGACAUUUAUCGUAAUGCCAAAUUUUAUGUAGUAAUGCCAAAUAUUAUG
rnacentral:lncRNA from 1 species